GCUGGACACAGUGGUGUGUGCCUGCAGUCCUAGCUACUUGGGAGGCUGAGGCAGGAGGAUCGCUGGAGCCCAGGAGUUCGAGGCUGCAGUGAGCUAUGAUCGUGCCACUGCACUCCAGCCUGGGCAACAGAGUGAGUCUCUAUCUCUA
ensembl:misc_RNA Metazoa_SRP Metazoan signal recognition particle RNA